UACGUAGGGGGCAAGCGUUGUCCGGAUUUAUUGGGCGUAAAGGGUGCGUAGGCGGUCGGGUAAGUCUGAUGUGAAAUCUCACAGCUUAACUGUGAAACUGCAUUGGAUACUAUCCGGCUAGAGGAAUGGAGGGGAGACUGGAAUACUUGGUGUAGCAGUGAAAUGCGUAGAUAUCAAGUGGAACACCAGUGGCGAAGGCGAGUCUCUGGACAUUUCCUGACGCUGAGGCACGAAAGCCAGGGGAGCAAACGGG
rnacentral:rRNA from 1 species